ACUCACUCUUCGCCGUCGUCGCCGCCGCCGCCGCUGCUGCCGCCGCCUGGGAGUCCGGCUCUCCGCGCUCCCGGGACCGCCCGACCUCUCCUCCCUACUCCGCUCCAGCUCCUCCCCUCGCGCGUGGGCGGGGCGCACGGCCCGGUGGGCGGGGCAGUCGCCGCCACCCCCUCCGCUCUGGCCCACGGGCAUGGGACGUGGUCGCCGCGCCCAACUGCGGCCGUCGGGGGUCAGGACACGCGUGCCCGCGGCUGGGUUGGUGCAGCUCGCUGCGGUGCGGUAGGCCCGGGCAACCACGCGAGGCCACCACCAUACAUCACCACCAGGACCACACACCGCAGACCCCAGGCUGCGAAGAUGAGCUCUGCCAAACCCCACACAAAAGUGGGGCUCUGAUCCAGAAAGGUCUGAGGAAACGGCCACCGUCAUAUUUAAAGGACUCUGGGGCAACAGGGAGGUUGUUUCCCAGAAAUGGAGUGUUAGGAAACACUUGGCUGAUUCAGAUUGUGACAGUUCGAAGAUGCACCCUAAACAGAAUGGCCAGACACAAGAAUGGACUAUUAUGGUUGUGAUUUCCACCUCUGGAUCAUUAUAUAGCCCAGUUAAGUACUUCAUGUACUUUUAAUUUUUCUCUCACUAAUCUGUGGCAAAAACAAACAAAGUGGCUCGUUGAAGAAUGUCUGGCUUCUCAAAUUGUAUCCACCGAUUAGUCUUUAAACAGUUAUCUGCAUAUGGAGAUGAAAUCCAGUAUCAUGUACAAACUUGUGCAGAAAUUGUCUAUUGCAUCAAGUUGUUUGAAAUAUGGUCUUUUAUUUUAUCUCCCCUCACACAUUAUCCAUUUUUUAUUUCUUUUUUGUACUAAAAUGUCAGCCUGCAACAAAUUAACAAUAAAAUACAGUUAAUCAUUUAUACCCACAGGGGUCUGCAUCCUCAAAUUCAACUACAGAUUGAAAGUAUUUGAAAAUAAAAUUGAGUCUGUC
rnacentral:sRNA from 1 species